AAUUGGAGUUUUACUUAGAUCAUUACUGCAAGGAUUACACAGUGCUUUUCAGAACUACUGAAGAAGUAUGCACGAUUGAUCAGGAUUGUUGCAGUGGUGGUGUCAGUGAACUAUGGCCUUCCGGUAGAACCAGGGCUGUGUACCUUGUUUCCGUACCGUCCUGUUCCAGUGGAACCAUUGCCUCUUCCUAAGCUGAGUUUGACUGAUUGUUGCAGUGGUGGUGUCAGUGAACUAUGGCCCUUCCGGUAGAACCAGGGCUGUGUACCUUGUUUCCGUACCGUCCUGUUCCAGUGGAACCAUUGCCUCUUCCUAAGCUGAGUUUGACUGGCCACUGAUGGGUGUGUCAGAGUUCUUUCCGUGGGACAGAGUGAAAGAAUUGCCACCAACAACCGCCGCACGUCCAGCUACCCUGUCUGCAGAGCCAGGGAGCAGGUGAGACCUGCCAUGGCUUGUCCCCAUAGCAGUGCUAUGAGGUUGACCAAGCAGCAGCCCACAUUUCAGAGGAGCAUCCUGAGACUCGGGAAGAUGUGGUGACGUUUCAGCCUCAGAGCUAGCAGUGGGCAGAGUCACGAGUGUGUGCUCACCUAGUGAAAAGCUCGUCCAGGAACCGCU